CGUAAAUACCUAUUUGGACGUUCUCUGCUUUGUGGCUAGGUUAGGUGUUGAGUUCCAGAUCACUUGGUGCAUAGUUGGUCCAUUGUGCUGGCUUAAAUCGGUGAUAACUCGGAAGAAACAGAAAGUUAAGCAUUCGCGUUAAAAGAUAACAUUUUGUAACACGUUCAAUUAGCGAGUUAAAUAAAGUGAAGUGAAGUUGCGUGUCGUGCGCGUCUGAAAACGGAAGCAGGAAAAAGUGAAACUAUCGGUCGAUGCGACGAGCCAUCAGUAACGUCAUAAGCGGUAAGGCGUAAAGAAAGUAAAAGCAAUAAAGAAAAUUGAGGAAGUUUAUUCGGCGGUAAAGAAAAAUCGAAAAACUAAGACAAAAAAGUGCACGGAGAUUUAUUUUCACAAUUAUAGACGCGCGUGCAAUAAGCCAAUAGCCGUCCGUCUGUCAACUGCGCUGACCGUUCGGUCCGUCUUUUGCCAAAGUGUAUUCAUUAUAUAAUUCAUUUUUUAUAAUUUCAUGAAAUAAAUUGUUUAAAUUAUUGACAACCAUUGAAUGCUAAUAGAUUUUAUCGCGGACAGAAGUGAAAAAUUCCGGGCUACGCAAUAUUAUCGCUUUCAAUUCCUGUGACAAGCGAACGAGAAAGUACGAGAAACAAUCAGACAAUCCACGAUACAAAAAUUGCAAAUAUAUCACACCUGCGGCAAUUCAAAGAGAACUGGAACAAAAGAUCUCAAUUGGC